rnacentral:rRNA from 1 species
CCUACGGGAGGCUGCAGUGGGGAAUAUUGCACAAUGGGCGAAAGCCUGAUGCAGCAACGCAGCGUGAGCGAUGAAGGCCUUCGGGUCGUAAAGCUCUGUCCUCAAGGAAGUUAAUGACGGUACUUGUGGAGGAAGCCACGGCUAAUUACGUGCAAGCAGCCGCGGUAAUACGUAGGGGGCUAGCGUUAUACGGAAUUACUGGGCGUAAAGGGUGCGUAGGUGGUUUCUUAAGUCAGAGGUGAAAGUCUACGGCUCAACCGUAGUAAGCCUUUGAAAAUGGGAAACUUGAGUGCAGGAGAGGUGAGUGGAAUUCCUGGUGUAGCGGUGACAUGCGUAGAUAUUAGGAAGAACACCGAUUGCGAAGGCGGCUCUCUGGACUGUAACUGACGCUGAGGCACGAAAGCGUGGGGAGCAAACAGGAUUAGAUACCCCUGUAGUC